rnacentral:rRNA from 1 species
CCUACGGGUGGCAGCAGUGAGGAAUAUUGGUCAAUGGACGAGAGUCUGAACCAGCCACGUAGCGUGAAGGAUGACUGCCCUAUGGGUUGUAAACUUCUUUUAUCAAGGAAUAAAACGAGGCACGUGUGCCUUGUUGCAUUUACUUUAUGAAUAAGGAUCGGCUAAGUCCGUGCCAGCAGCCGCGGUAAUACGGAGGAUCCGAGCGUUAUCCGGAUUUUUUGGGUGUAAAGGGAGCGUAGAGGGGUUGUUUAGUCAGUUGUGAAAGUUUGCGGCUCAACCGUAAAAUUGCAAUUGAUACUGGCAGUCUUGAGUACAGUCGAGGUAGGCGGAAUUCGUGGUGUAGCGGUGAAAUGCUUAGAUAUCACGAAGAACUCCGAUUGCGAAGGCAGCUUACUAAACUGUGACUGACAUUGAUGCUCGAAAGUGUGGGUAUCAAACAGGAUUAGAUACCCCUGUAGUC